CUGCGGAAUUUUGUUGAUUGAGACAACUUUUAGACCAAUAGGCAUCCAAAAAUGAUCAAAAUUGGAUGCCUAUCGGCCUAAAAGUUGUCUCAAUCAACGAAUGAGAUAAA
ensembl:miRNA mir-5547 ncRNA